AAGGAAUAUUGGACAAUGGUCGCAAGACUGAUCCAGCCAUGCCGCGUGAAGGAUGACGGCCCUAUGGGUUGUAAACUUCUUUUGUAUGGGAAAAAACCUCUCUACGUGUAGAGAGCUGAUGGUACCAUAAGAAUAAGGAUCGGCUAACUCCGUGCCAGCAGCCGCGGUAAUACGGAGGAUCCAAGCGUUAUCCGGAUUCAUUGGGUUUAAAGGGUGCGUAGGCGGAAUGAUAAGUCAGUGGUGAAAUCCUGCAGCUUAACUGCAGAACUGCCAUUGAUACUGUCAAUCUUGAGUACAUUUGAUGUGGGCGGAAUGUGUCAUGUAGCGGUGAAAUGCUUAGAUAUGACACAGAACACCGAUUGCGAAGGCAGCUCACAAAACUGUAACUGACGCUGAGGCACGAAAGCGUGGGUAUCAAA
rnacentral:rRNA from 1 species